rnacentral:rRNA from 1 species
UACGUAGGGUGCAAGCGUUGUCCGGAAUUAUUGGGCGUAAAGAGCUCGUAGGCGGUCUGUCGCGUCUGCUGUGAAAACUCAGGGCUUAACCCUGAGCUUGCAGUGGGUACGGGCAGACUAGAGUGCGGUAGGGGAGACUGGAAUUCCUGGUGUAGCGGUGAAAUGCGCAGAUAUCCGGAGGAACACCGGUGGCGAAGGCGGCAUUCUGGACCGAUAUUGACGCUGAGGAGCGAAAGCCAGGGGAGCAAACGGG